CAGCCGCCGCGGGAAAACGGAGGGAGCUAGCGUUGUUCGGAAUUACUGGGCGUAAAGGGUGUGUAGGCGGUUGUUUAAGUUUGGUGUGAAAUCUCCCGGCUCAACUGGGAGGGUGCGCCGAAUACUGAAUGACUAGAAUAUGGGAUGGGAGAGUAGAAUUCCUGGUGUAGCGGUGAAAUGCGUAGAUAUCAGGAGGAAUACCGGUGGUGUAGACGGCUCUCUGGACCAUUACUGACGCUGAGACACGAAAGCGUGGGUAGCAAACAGGAUUAGAUACCCCGGUAGUCCCUGUCUCUUAUAC
rnacentral:rRNA from 1 species